AUAAUUUUGCUAGCGUAAGUGGGAAACUCAAACCCCAUUUUCUCUGAGUGUACCAUUAAAAACUACUAUAUAUCUCCCACUCUCUUCCACACACUUCACACACCAAAAACCAAAAGGCUGCUCCAUUUCCAUUUUCAUUGUUAGGAUAAGAUGUUUACCCUUUUGCUGCUCCUACACACAAAAACAAAUUGCACUCUCUCUUCUCUUUCUUCUUCUCAUUUCAUUUCAACUCAUCACUUUUUUCACCUAUUUAUUCAGUUUCUCACACCCCAUCAUCAUGCACAUAGAUCUGUCACACCCAUCUGCCAAGCUUGCUACUUGUCAUCUCUACGUUUUGCAUGACUCUCUCUGACUCAAUGUACAGAAAGUCAGACAUGGAAAGAGAGAAAGAGAGAGAGAGAAGGAGUUUUGUGUGUCCCAACAUGGUUUUGGUUUGGUUGGAGUUUAUUUUAUGGUGUUUAAUACCCUUUUCCUUUCUUCUUUUAUGUUUUUAUGUUGUUGUUGUCUCAGAACCAUUUCAUCCUCUUCCUCAUCUCUUGAUUCAUCUUCUGGGGUUUGCUUUUCUUGUUUCUGCCCUUAUUUCUCGGACUGAGGCUGUUCGUGACAAACCCUAAAUUCUCAGAAUUGUGUUCCUCUGAGAACAUGCAUGUCAGAUCCUAGAUUUCCCACCUUUUUAGCUCCAGAUUUCGUGAAGUUUUCCUUUAAUAUGGAUGUCACAUUUUUCCUCCUCAGAUCUGACUCGGUUGUGUGGCUUUUAUUCUUCCCUUCAGAUUUUUCCAAACCUUUUGUCUGUGAAACUUUCCAUAUUUGGGAUGCUAUUGUAUGUGUACUUAGUUUCUUUUAAUUCCUUCUAUUUGGACAGAAAUUGACAGAAGAGAGUGAGCACAAAGAGGCACAUGAUAUAACUCUAUAUCACUGCUUUUGUGUGCUCACUACUCUUUCUGUCGGUUUUCAGUGCCAGAAAAUUCUCCGACUCUCCUUCUCCAUCAACCAAAACCAAACCACAUCAUCUUCUUCACUCUCUCUCUCUCUCAUUCUGAUGCAGCUCAUGACCAAAAAUGUCUCUUACUGAAACAGUUUAGUUACAUGUUUCAGUAUUAUUGAACAACAGCAUGGAAGAAUUUUAAGAUGCUGGCGAAUGAAUGACACACAAUCUCCUGAUUCUGGAAUCUUCUUUGUACAUGUUUAAAUGAAGCUGAAAUUUUCUCCAACACUGCUACUGAGAUUUUAUGACUGCAUAAUGAGAAAAGUUACAUAACUUAUAACUAUGGCUUCAAGAUGAGGCAAUGACUCAAAUCAAUGGAAAGAAUGUUAAAAGGGUAGGUUGAGAAAAUUAUGCAGGGGUUCUCACUAUUUUCUCACAUGGUUGCAUUUUUGCUUCACAAUUGUUUUGGAGAUAUUUGCUUUUGUAGUUGUGUGAAUGCCUUUCUGCUGCAAUCUUGUGCAGUGAAAUGGUAGUUUUUAUGUAAUAUACAUUUUUCUUAUGAAAAAAAUAAGCUUUUUAA